rnacentral:rRNA from 1 species
CCUGGCUCAGAGCGAACGCUGGCGGCAGGCCUAACACAUGCAAGUCGAACGGACUCUUCGGAGUUAGUGGCGGACGGGUGAGUAACACGUGGGAACGUGCCUUUAGGUUCGGAAUAAGCCCGGGAAACUGGGUCUAAUACCGAAUGUGCCCUUCGGGGGAAAGAUUUAUCGCCUUUAGAGCGGCCCGCGUCUGAUUAGCUAGUUGGUGAGGUAAAGGCUCACCAAGGCGACGAUCAGUAGCUGGUCUGAGAGGAUGAUCAGCCACACUGGGACUGAGACACGGCCCAGACUCCUACGGGAGGCAGCAGUGGGGAAUCUUGCGCAAUGGGCGAAAGCCUGACGCAGCCAUGCCGCGUGAAUGAUGAAGGUCUUAGGAUUGUAAAAUUCUUUCACCGGGGACGAUAAUGACGUA